AUUUGAUGAUACAUUAUAUACGAAUUAUUUAGAAAAAAACGUGUAAUUUGUUUUUAAUACCUUAAAGAGUGUAAGGAGAAGUUACAGGGCACGUUAAUGUAUCAAUAUAAACCUAUAAACCUAUACUUAAGGUUGGCGGCGGUGGGAGGGUAGGAGGUUUUGAUGGUGAAGAGGAGACACGGUUGGUGAAGCUAAGGUGAAAUGAGAGUAAAAGGGGAACGACGACUGUAUUAAAAACUUGUUUG